rnacentral:snoRNA from 1 species
GACAGGAUGAGUGAUACCUCCGGUUGACCUGAUUCUCUUGAAGUGAACGCAUGGUUUCUGACA